rnacentral:rRNA from 1 species
GAUGAACGCUGGCGGCGUGCCUAAUACAUGCAAGUCGAGCGGACAGACGAGGAGCUUACUCCUCUGACGUUAGCGGCGGACGGGUGAGUAACACGUGGAUAACCUACCUAUAAGACUGGGAUAACUUCGGGAAACCGGAGCUAAUACCGGAUAACAUGUUGAACCGCAUGGUUCAACAGUGAAAGACGGUCUUGCUGUCACUUAUAGAUGGAUCCGCGUCGCAUUAGCUAGUUGGUAAGGUAACGGCUUACCAAGGCAACGAUGCGUAGCCGACCUGAGAGGGUGAUCGGCCACACUGGAACUGAGACACGGUCCAGACUCCUACGGGAGGCAGCAGUAGGGAAUCUUCCGCAAUGGGCGAAAGCCUGACGGAGCAACGCCGCGUGAGUGAAGAAGGUCUUCGGAUCGUAAAACUCUGUUAUUAGGGAAGAACAAAUGUGUAAGUAACUAUGCACGUCUUGACGGUACCUAAUCAGAAAGCCACGGCUAACUACGUG